AUUGAACGCUGGCGGCAGACCUAACUCAUGCAAGUCGAGCGGAGCGGCGGAAGGGUGAGUAAUGCCUAGGAAUCUGCAUGGUAGUGGGGGAUAACGUCCGGAAACGGGCGCUAAUACCGCAUAAUAUCAGAUGCGCCUAGGUCGGAGUUGCUAGUUGGUGGGGUAAAGGCUUACCAAGGCGACGAUCCGUAAGUGGUCUGAGAGGAUGAUCAGUCACACUGGAACUGAGACACGGUCCAGACUCCUACGGGAGGCAGCAGUGGGGAAUAUUGGACAAUGGGCGAAAGCCUGAUCCAGCCAUGCCGCGUGUGUGAAGAAGGUCUUCGGAUUGUAAAGCUCUGUAAGUUGGGAGGCGUUACCAACAGAAUAAGCACCGGCUAACUUCGUGCCAGCAGCCGCGGUAAUAC
rnacentral:rRNA from 1 species